CUUCCACAAUUGGCUAAAGCCUGAUGGAGCAAAGCCGCGUGAGUGAAGAAGGUUUUCGGAUCGUAAAACUCUGUUGUAAGGGAAGAACAAGUACAGUCGUAACUGGCUGUACCUUGACGGUACCUUAUUCGAAAGCCCCGGCUAACUACGUUCCAGCCGCCGCGGUAAUACGUAGGUGGCAAGCGUCGUCCGGAAUUAUUGGGCGUAAAGCGCGCGCAGGCGGUCCUUUAAGUCUGAUGUGAAAGCCCACGGCUCAACCGUGGAGGGUCAUUGGAAACUGGGGGACUUGAGUGCAGAAGAGGAAAGUGGAAUUCCAAGUGUAGCGGUGAAAUGCGUAGAGAUUUGGAGGAACACCAGUGGCGAAGGCGACUUUCUGGUCUGUAACUGACGCUGAGGCGCGAAAGCGUGGGGAGCAAACA
rnacentral:rRNA from 1 species